GUGGGGAAUAUUGGACAAUGGGCGCAAGCCUGAUCCAGCCAUGCCGCGUGAGUGAUGAAGGUCUUAGGAUUGUAAAGCUCUUUCACCGGUGAAGAUAAUGACGGUAACCGGAGAAGAAGCCCCGGCUAACUUCGUGCCAGCAGCCGCGGUAAUACGAAGGGGGCUAGCGUUGUUCGGAAUUACUGGGCGUAAAGCGCACGUAGGCGGAUAUUUAAGUCAGGGGUGAAAUCCCAGAGCUCAACUCUGGAACUGCCUUUGAUACUGGGUAUCUUGAGUAUGGAAGAGGUGAGUGGAAUUCCGAGUGUAGAGGUGAAAUUUGUAGAUAUUCGGAGGAACACCAGUGGCGAAGGCGGCUCACUGGUCCAUUACUGACGCUGAGGUGCGAAAGCGUGGGGAGCAAACAGGAUUAGAUACCCGAGUAGUCC
rnacentral:rRNA from 1 species